GUGGGGAAUAUUGGACAAUGGGCGAAAGCCUGAUCCAGCCAUGCCGCGUGUGUGAAGAAGGUCUUCGGAUUGUAAAGCACUUUAAGUUGGGAGGAAGGGCAGUAAGUUAAUACCUUGCUGUUUUGACGUUACCGACAGAAUAAGCACCGGCUAACUUCGUGCCAGCAGCCGCGGUAAUACGAAGGGUGCAAGCGUUAAUCGGAAUUACUGGGCGUAAAGCGCGCGUAGGUGGUUUUGUAAGUUGGAGGUGAAAUCCCCGGGCUCAACCUGGGAACUGCCUCCAAAACUGCAUGACUAGAGUACGGUAGAGGGUAGUGGAAUUUCCUGUGUAGCGGUGAAAUGCGUAGAUAUAGGAAGGAACACCAGUGGCGAAGGCGACUACCUGGACUGAUACUGACGCUGAGGCGCGAAAGCGUGGGGAGCAAACAGGAUUAGAAACCCUAGUAGUCC
rnacentral:rRNA from 1 species